ensembl:lncRNA
GGGGGGGCCGGGAUCGGGUGGCUCGGGGGGGCCGCCCCAAAUGGUACGGGGGCAGCCGCGGGCGGCACGGAGCGGGGCUUGUAGGGCCGGGGAGCUGCGGUUGUAGGGGUUGGGGAGAUGCGGUUAUAGGGCUGGGGAGCUGAGGGUAUAGGGGUUGGGAAGAUGAGGCUAUAGGGCUGCGGAGGUGCGUGUAUAGGGCUGGAGAGCUGCGGAUAUAGGGUCGGAGAGCUGUGGGUAUAGGGGUUUCGGUGCUGUGGGUAUAGGGGUUUUGGUGCUGAGGCUAUAGGGCUGGGGAGAUGAGGCUGUAGGGCUGGGAUCUGCGGUUAUAGGGCUGGGGAGAUGCGGCUAUAGGGUUUACGGAGCUGCGGCUACAGGGGCUGAGGAGCUGUGGUUAUAGGGCCGGGACCUUCGGCUCUAGGGCCGGGAUCUGCGGCUGUAGGGCCGGGAGCAGCGGCUGUAGGGCUGGGAUCCGCGGCCGUGCUUGGGGCCGGUCGGGGCCGUGCCGGGAGGAGCCGGGAGCGCCCCGGAGACGUCUCGGGGCCGCACCGCCGCCGCCUCCCCCCGCCCCCUGCCCAGCGCCUUCGGGGGGGGGGGGAGGCGGGGGGUGCAGCUGAGCCCCCCCCAUCCCAAUUUCUCACCCCCCCCCCAAACCGUCACAAACCCCAAACCAGCACCAAACCCCGCUGCCGCGGUAGGGCUGGAUCCUUCUCCUCUCCCCCGGGCCCCGUCCUGGUGAAUAUUUGGGGACCCCCCCCCCCAAAAAAAAACACACGGUGGUGUGUGGGCAGGAAGGGGGCAGAGCUGGGGGGCCCUGCUCCGCUCCCCCUCAAAAUUAUUAUUUUAUUUUAUUUUAUUUUAUUUUAUUUUAUUUUAUUUUAUUUUAUUUUAUUUUAUUUUAUUUAUUUUAUUUCAUUUCUUUUCAUUUUGUUUCAUUUCGUUUCAUUUUAUUUCAUUUCGUUUCAUUUCACUUUAUUUUUUUACUUUAUUUUACUUUCAUUUCAUUUCAUUUCAUUCUAGUUUACUUUAUUCCGUUUUACUUCAUUUCGUUUCACAUUAUUUCCCUUUAUUUCCCUUCGUUUCGUUCCACCUCGCCCCAUUUCGCUUUGCCCCGUUUCGCUUCAUUCCGUCUCGUUUCCCUCGCCAAACGCCUGCGCGCUCCCGCUGCGGCGCCGUGACCGUGGGAACCCGCGGGAGCGCGCCCGGGGUGAACGGGAGCGCGCCGGGGGCGCGGCGGCGGCCGCCAAACCCCUGCCCGGGGGGGUCCCGGCGCUGCCCCCCGCCUGCUCUGCCCCAGCCGCACGCAGCCACGGCCCCGACACCAUAGCGCCCUCGGCCCCAUAGCACCGAGCCAUACAGACAUACAGCCAUACAGACGUACAGCCAUACAGACAUACAGCCAUACAGACGUACAGCCAUAUAGACGUACAGCCAUACAGACGUACAGCCAUAUAGACGUACAGCCAUACAGACAUACAGACACACAGCCAUAUAGACGUACAGCCAUAUAUCGUACGGCCAUCCAGCCUUCUACUCGUCUGCACAUUCAGCCCCAUAGGUACCUAGCCAUAUAGACACGUUACGCGACCUUCUAGCCAUCGACUCAUUUACAUUUUUACCCAUUUACCCAUUUACUCAUUUAUCCACAUAUCCAUAUACCCAUAUAUCCAUUUAUCCAUAUAUUCUUAUAUCCAUUUAU